UACGAAGGGGGCUAGCGUUGUUCGGAAUUACUGGGCGUAAAGGGCGCGUAGGCGGUGUGUCAAGUCAGGCGUGAAAGCCCCGGGCUCAACCUGGGAACCGCGCUUGAUACUGGCGAGCUUGAGUUCGGGAGAGGUGAGUGGAACUGCGAGUGUAGAGGUGAAAUUCGUAGAUAUUCGCAAGAACACCAGUGGCGAAGGCGGCUCACUGGCCCGAUACUGACGCUGAGACGCGAAAGCGUGGGGAGCAAACAGG
rnacentral:rRNA from 1 species